rnacentral:rRNA from 1 species
AACGAACGCUGGCGGCAUGCCUAACACAUGCAAGUCGAACGCGUGGAGCGAUCCACGAGUGGCGCACGGGUGAGUAACGCGUGGGAACCUGCCCUGGAGUGUGGGAUAACCCGGCGAAAGCCGGGCUAAUACCGCAUACGACCUGAGGGUGAAAGAUUUAUCGCUCUAGGAGGGGCCCGCGUCGGAUUAGCUAGUUGGUGAGGUAAUGGCUCACCAAGGCGAUGAUCCGUAGCUGGUCUGAGAGGAUGAUCAGCCACACUGGGACUGAGACACGGCCCAGACUCCUACGGGAGGCAGCAGUGGGGAAUAUUGGACAAUGGGCGAAAGCCUGAUCCAGCCAUGCCGCGUGUGUGAAGAAGGUCUUCGGAUUGUAAAGCACUUUAAGUUGGGAGGAAGGGCAGUAAGCUAAUACCUUGCUGUUUUGACGUUACCGACAGAAUAAGCACCGG